CGCUAAGAAGCUAAACUAGCGUUAACCUUUUAAGUUAAAGAUUGAGAGUUAUAGACUCCCCUUAGUGA
rnacentral:tRNA from 1 species